rnacentral:rRNA from 1 species
UUGAAAGGGAAACGAUUGAAGUCAGUCGUACCUAUGGGUAAUCAGCCUUUUGGGUGUGAUUUUGUGGAGCGUGGAGAGUUAAACGCCUUCAUGCCUGCAUAUUCGUGUACUUUGGGUGUACUUGCCCGUGUGUAAGUUAACAUCAAUUUUGGUGGUCAUAAAAUGGCUGGAGGAAUGUAGCUUCGAUCUUGUAUUGAAGUGUUAUAGCCUUCGGUAGAUGUGACGAUCGGGAUUGAGGAUUGCAACGGAUACCCUUCGGGGCUACCUAUCUGAUCUCUGAUCGUUGCUCUGGUGCCGAAAGCUUGCUUACGGUUAUCAAAGUCGAUGGUCAAUAGGUUAGAAUGGGUUAAAUUCGUUAAGGAUGUUGACGUA